rnacentral:rRNA from 1 species
AGCUUAACACAUGCAAGUCGAACGGAUUUUUAUCAUAGCUUGCUAUGAUAGAAAUUAGUGGCAGACGGGUGAGUAAUGCAUAGGAAUCUACCUAGUAGUAUGGGAUAGCCACUAGAAAUGGUGGGUAAUACUGUAUAAUCCCUGCGGGGGAAAGAUUUAUCGCUAUUAGAUGAGCCUAUGUUAGAUUAGCUAGUUGGUAGGGUAAAGGCCUACCAAGGCAGUGAUCUAUAGCUGGUCUGAGAGGAUGAUCAGCCACACUGGAACUGAGAUACGGUCCAGACUCCUACGGGAGGCAGCAGUGGGGAAUAUUGGACAAUGGGCGCAAGCCUGAUCCAGCUAUGCCGCGUGAGUGAGGAAGGCCUUAGGGUUGUAAAACUCU